rnacentral:RNase_P_RNA from 1 species
GGUAAUCGCUUGUUCCGUUUACGGGAUGAGAGGAAAGUCCGAACUCCGAAGGGCAGGGUGCUCCGUAACGCGGAGACAUUCCGAAAAUACCGGAACGAUGGCCAGUGCCACAGAAAACAUACCGUCCGUCAGAGGCCGGACUCGUCCGGCAACUGCCGAACAAGGGUGAAAAGGCGAGGUAAGAGCUCACCGGUCUGAUGGUGACAUCAGGCGCAUGGUAAACCCCACCCGGAGCAAGGCCAAAUAGGCAGGAAUACUGCUUGUAAAAGCAGUAACGGAUCUGCCCGAUCCGGUUGACCUGCGGGUAGGCUGCACGAUUCUGCCGGCAACGGCAGAACCAGAUAAAUGAUUACCGUCCGUCAGGGGCCGGACA